AUGACGAACGCCAAGGGAAAGAGGAGAGACACGUGAUACAUGUUCUCCAGGCCUUUUAGAAAACAUGGAGUUGUUCCUUUGGCCACGUGUAUGCGAAUCUAUAAGAAAGGUGAUACUGUGGAAAUCAAGGGAAUGGGCGCCGUUCAAAAAGGAAUGCCCCACAAGAGGCACCAUGGCUAAACUGGAAGAGUCUACAAUGUGACCCAGCAUGCUGCUGGCAUUGUGGUAAAGAAACAAGUUAAGGGCAAGAUUCUUGCCAAGAGAAUUAAUGUGCGUAUUAAGCGUAUUAAGCACUCUAAGGGCUGAGAUCGCUUCCUAAAAUGCGUGAAGGAAAAUGAUCAGAAAAAGAAAGAAGCCAAAGACAAACGUACCUGGGUUCAACUGAAGCGCCCGCCUGCUCCACCCAGAGAAGCACACUUUGUGAGAACCAAUGGGAAGUAGCCUGAGCUGCUGGAACCUAUUCCCUAUGAAUUCAUGGCAUAA
rnacentral:lncRNA from 1 species